AUGAACGCUGGCGGCGUGCCUAAUACAUGCAAGUCGAGCGAACAGACGAGGAGCUUGCUCCUCUGACGUUAGCGGCGGACGGGUGAGUAACACGUGGAUAACCUACCUAUAAGACUGGGAUAACUUCGGGAAACCGGAGCUAAUACCGGAUAAUAUAUUGAACCGCAUGGUUCAAUAGUGAAAGACGGUUUUGCGGUCACUUAUAGAUGGAUCCGCGCCGCAUUAGCUAGUUGGUAAGGUAACGGCUUACCAAGGCAACGAUGCGUAGCCGACCUGAGAGGGUGAUCGGCGACACUGGAGCUGGGACACGGUCCAUGGUCCUACGGGAGGCAGCAGAAGGGAAUCUUCCGCAAUGGGCGAAAGCCUGACGGAGCAACGCCGCGUGAGUGAUGAAGGUCUUCGGAUCGUAAAACUCUGUUAUUAGGGAAAAACAAAUGUGUAAGUAGCUAUGCACGUCUUGACGGUACCUAAUCAGGAAGCCACGGCUAACUACGUG
rnacentral:rRNA from 1 species